GAUGAACGCUGGCGGCGUGCCUAAUACAUGCAAGUCGAGCGAACAGGCGAGGAGCUUGCUCCACUUACGUUAGCAGCGGACGGGUGAGUAACACGUGGGUAACCUGCCUAUAAGCGGGGGACAACUUUUGGAAACCGGUGCUAAUACCGCAUAACAACUUUAACCACAUGGUUUAAUAUUGAAAGACGGAAUUGCAGUAAUCUAUAAAUAUAUCGCCGUGUAUUUAGCUGGUUGUUAAGGAAACGCCUUCCCAAGCCAACUAUCAUUACCCGACUUGAAGGGGUGAUCGGCCAAAUUGGAACUGAGACACGGUCAAGACUCCUAGGGGGGGAAGCAGUAGGGAAUCUUCGGAAAUGGGCAAAAGCCUGACGGAGCAAGGCCGCGGGAGUGAUAAGGGUCUCCGGUUCGUAAAACUCUUUUAUUGGGAAGAAAGAUGUGUGGAGUUAAAAAUGCAUCAAUUGACGGUAACUACUCAGAAAGCGACGGCUAACUACGUG
rnacentral:rRNA from 1 species